UGUCUAUUAAUUGUAGACCAGUAUGAAUGGCAAAAUGAGGAUCUAACUGUCUCCUAUAAUUAAUCAAUUAAACUGAUCUCCUAGUAAAAAAGCUAAGAUACCCCCAUAAGACCAGAAGACCCUGCGAAGCUUAAACUAAACUAUUACACCCCAUAAUAACUACUUUCGGUUGGGGCGACCUUGGAAAAAAAAAGAACUUCCAAACAAAUGACCAUAAAUCACCCCACUAACAGGCCUACAAGCCUAAAGACCCAGUCUAACUGACAAACGAACCAAGUUACUCCAGGGAUAACAGCGCCAUCUUCUUCCAGAGCCCAUAUCAAAAAGAAGGCUUACGACCUCGAUGUUGGAUCAGGACAUCCUAAUGGUGCA
rnacentral:rRNA from 1 species